rnacentral:rRNA from 1 species
GACGAACGCUGGCGGCGUGCUUAACACAUGCAAGUCGAACGGAAAGGCCCUGCUUGCAGGGUACUCGAGUGGCGAACGGGUGAGUAACACGUGGGUGAUCUGCCCUGCACUUCGGGUUAAGCCUGGGAAACUGGGUCUAAUACCGGAUAGGAGCCAUUUUUAGUGUGAUGGUUGGAAAGUUUUUUCGGUGUUGGAUGAGCUCGGGGCCUAUCAGCUUGUUGGUGGGGUAAUGGCCUACCAAGGCGGCGACGGGUAGCUGGCCUGAGAGGGUGGACGGCCACAUUGGGACUGCGAGAGGGACCAGACUCCUACGGGAGGCAGCAGUGGGGAAUAUUGCACAAUGGGCGCAAGCCUGAUGCAGCGACGCCGCGUGGGGGAUGACGGCCUUCGGGUUGGAAACUCCUUUCGCUAGGGACGAAGCUUUUGUGACGGUACCUAGAUAAGAAGCACCGGCUAACUACGUG